rnacentral:rRNA from 1 species
GAGUUUGAUCUUGGCUCAGAUUGAACGCUGGCGGCAGGCCUAACACAUGCAAGUCGAGCGGAUGAAGGGAGCUUGCUCCUGGAUUCAGCGGUGGACGGGUGAGUAAUGCCUAGGAAUCUGCCUGGUAGUGGGGAUAACGUCCGGAAACGGGCGCUAAUACCGCAUACGUCCUGAGGGAGAAAGUGGGGGAUCUUCGGACCUCACGCUAUCAGAUGAGCCUAGGUCGGAUUAGCUAGUUGGUGGGGUAAAGGCCUACCAAGGCGACGAUCCGUAACUGGUCUGAGAGGAUGAUCAGUCACACUGGAACUGAGACACGGUCCAGACUCCUACGGGAGGCAGCAGUGGGGAAUAUUGGACAAUGGGCGAAAGCCUGAUCCAGCCAUGCCGCGUGUGUGAAGAAGGUCUUCGGAUUGUAAAGCACUUUAAGUUGGGAGGAAGGGCAGUAAGUUAAUACCUUGCUGUUUUGACGUUACCAACAGAAUAAGCACCGGCUAACUUCGUGCCAGCCGCCGCCGUAACACCG